GUCAAUUUGGCCGAGUGGUCAAGGCGAUAUAUUAGAAAUCUGGCAAUGCCCGCGCAGGUUCGAACCUUGCAGUUGACG
rnacentral:tRNA from 1 species